UCGCAUGGCGCAGCUACCAUGCAGUCGAGCGGUAACAGAUCCAGCUUGCUGGAUGCUGACGAGCGGCGGACGGGUGAGUAAUGCAUAGGAAUCUGCCCGAUAGUGGGGGAUAACCUGGGGAAACCCAGGCUAAUACCGCAUACGUCCUACGGGAGAAAGGGGGCUUCGGCUCCCGCUAUCGGAUGAGCCUAUGUCGGAUUAGCUAGUUGGUGAGGUAACGGCUCACCAAGGCCACGAUCCGUAGCUGGUCUGAGAGGAUGAUCAGCCACAUCGGGACUGAGACACGGCCCGAACUCCUACGGGAGGCAGCAGUGGGGAAUAUUGGACAAUGGGGGGAACCCUGAUCCAGCCAUGCCGCGUGUGUGAAGAAGGCCCUCGGGUUGUAAAGCACUUUCAGCGAGGAAGAACGCCUAGCGGUUAAUACCCGCUAGGAAAGACAUCACUCGCAGAAGAAGCACCGGCUAACUCCGUGCCAGCAGCCGCGGUAAUACGGAGGGUGCAAGCGUUAAUCGGAAUUACUGGGCGUAAAGCGCGCGUAGGUGGCUUGAUAAGCCGGUUGUGAAAGCCCCGGGCUCAACCUGGGAACGGCAUCCGGAACUGUCAAGCUAGAGUGCAGGAGAGGAAGGUAGAAUUCCCGGUGUAGCGGUGAAAUGCGUAGAGAUCGGGAGGAAUACCAGUGGCGAAGGCGGCCUUCUGGACUGACACUGACACUGAGGUGCGAAAGCGUGGGUAGCAAACAGGAUUAGAUCCC
rnacentral:rRNA from 1 species